UACGUAGGGGGCAAGCGUUGUCCGGAUUCAUUGGGCGUAAAGAGCGUGUGGGCGGCCAGGUAGGUCGGUUGUGAAAACUGGAGGCUCAACCUUCAGACGUCGACCGAAACCAUCUGGCUAGAGUCCGGGAGAGGAGAGUGGAAUUCCUGGUGUAGCGGUGAAAUGCGCAGAUAUCAGGAAGAACACCCGUGGCGAAAGCGGCUCUCUGGAACGGUACUGACGCUGAGACGCGAAAGCGUGGGGAGCGAACAGG
rnacentral:rRNA from 1 species